rnacentral:rRNA from 1 species
AGUGCUUUCAGUUGGGAAGAAGAAAGUGACGGUACCAACAGAAGAAGCGACGGCUAAAUAUGUGCCAGCAGCCGCGGUAAUACAUAUGUCGCAAGCGUUAUCCGGAUUUAUUGGGCGUAAAGCGCGUCUAGGCGGUUUACUAAGUCUGAUGUGAAAAUGCGGGGCUCAACUCCGUAUUGCGUUGGAAACUGGUAGACUAGAGUACUGGAGAGGUGGGCGGAACUACAAGUGUAGAGGUGGAAUUCGUAGAUAUUUGUAGGAAUGCCGAUGGANAAGUCAGCUCACUGGACAGAUACUGACGCUAAAGCGCGAAAGCGUGGGGAGCAAACAGGAUUAGAUACCCUGGUAGUCCACGCCGUAAACGAUGAUCACUAGGUGUUGGGGGUCGAACCCCAGCGCCCAANCUAACGCGAUAAGUGAUCCGCCUGGGGAGUACGCACGCAAGUGUG